UCCAAUCUCUGAAUAAUGGAUCGCACGAUUCUUCUUCUUCUCUUUCUUCUUUCUCUGACCGUCUUCUCACUCGCCGUACAAGGGACCGGAAUUUCAGAACAGCAACAACAACCGGUUCUGGGUAUCUCGUCGAUCAAGUAUGGACGCCGGAUGUUGUUAAAUGGGUUCCCACCACAUCGCCGCUGGCCGCCUUCCGGUCCGAGCACUCGGGGGAAUAGUAUGAGGGAUUAAUAUAUAUAUAGCAUUAAUAAUUUUGCCUUAACAAACCAGCACUGGACAUCCCCCUCCCUCUCCCUCUCCCUUCCACCGACGAGAAGAUAGAGUGCAUAUACAUACAACAUAAAUACUAUUGAUUUGUUGCUUAGGAAUUAAACUUGUAUCUUUUAUAAGUUUUUGAUCGAGAUAUUGUAAACUGUAAUUUUCAUUAUUUUAAUUUGGUCCUUCUCUUCUAUCAUGAAUCAGCUAAGCUUUCGUUUUCAACCACAGGGAUGGGCAUGGGUACAAAGUACGAUCAACCCAUCCUCUACGGCCGGUGGCCGGUAAACAGUGGCUGUCCAAGAAGAGCAGGUAUUGUAUUUAACUUGCUCUCUCUCGGAAAAGUAGGAGUUGAAAAAACCCACACACGUAAGGUAAGAUCACCAGUUGUUGCAUGUCGGCGAUAACUCUUCGAAAAAUAACCCGUCCUUAUCGACCUUGCCAUGCAAAAAAAAAAAUCACAGCAAGAUCUUUACCUGUCGACCAAAGGAACAGUUACAGUUAAUACAGUAACCGUGUUUACUUUUCUUUUCUUUUCUUUGAUGGUAAAACAGUAAAUUUAAUGACAUGAUUGAAUGAUUGAAUAUACAUACAUCAAGACAAAAAAUGAAAAAUAUAUAUACAGGAUGAUCGACGGAUCGAUAACCACAUCUCAACCUCCACCAACAAUGGCAAAUUCCGGUUAUACAUUUUCAGAUAUCACCGUAAAACUCAUACCCUAUGCCUGGUUCUAUAUGCUUAGAGAUAUGGGUAGAUGUGUAUGUCGAUGUAGAGGUAGAAAAAGAACCGGAGAUAAAGGUAAAGAUAAAGGUAGUAAAACGGCCACCGACUGCCGGAAUCGAACGCCGCAUUUGGAAUCAGGAAGAGCGUCUAAUUACGUACCCAGUCGUUCAGCUUAUGUUGUACAUGAUAGUGGUGGUCUCCUGAGAGAAGCAGCUGACACGUCCAAAAUGAGGAGCUUCCGUAGAGAUGUCAAUAUCG
rnacentral:lncRNA from 1 species